CUAGUCUCCGGGUGUCGCUGCACACCAGCGAUCGGGUUUCGCAGCCCGAGCC
rnacentral:ncRNA from 1 species